rnacentral:lncRNA from 10 species
CCGGACUGCGGGACAUGUGACCGUGCCGAUCUAGGUCGUGUGACCCGUCUGGUGUAGUCCUGGAACAAGGGUUUUGCUGCGGAGGGAAACGGCCAGAGACCUCGAUCUAAGACCGGGGUUUGGAGACUGGCGGGCCUCGGAACAGCAGAGCUAGCGGACUUCCGGUCUGGCCCUCUGCUCACGGCCGAGGGCAAGGCGGGUUAGGUCACUUGCUGAGGAAAGAGCUCAAUAUGUCACGUGUUCCUCUCCCAAUGACGUGGACCUCAGUUCCCUCUCCAGUGAAGUGGGCACAGUGUUGCCCGAAAAAGGGUGCUCUGGGGCUUGCCUGAGACGGGACGCGUGGAAAUGCCCUGCCGAAUAUGAAUGGGGCGAUGGCCUCGCGGGACGGAGCAGCCCAGGAAAGCUGACCGUGGGCUGGGUUGUGGAGCGGAGCCCCAGGGCCUCGGCUGACUUAGCGGCCAGUCGUACAUAGUGGGUAUGCGGCGGGCCCGACGCCAGUCGUUGUGGACCACUGACUUGUAAUCUUUACGACCUCAGUGAGGGUCAGAAGUGUCCGCGAGCCCUGUAGGCGAGGAGAGGCCUGGCUGAGGGCGCACAGCCUGGAAGGGGAGAAACUAGAGCUGGACUCUGCUUGACCCACAGACCCUCCGCCAGGUUGCCUUUGCGAGGCAAGAAGCGAAGGUUGGCGAGCCAGCUGGGAGUACCCACCCCCUCCAUGCCUGGUGGAGUCACCCAAGCCCCAGCGACACCCCGGCCUGCCCAAGGUACUGGUGACCCUGGAGGCCGGGGCCCUGGCUUCUCAGUCAGGGUCUCCUCCCCAUGGCGGCAGAGCUGUCUGGCGUUUUGAGCCCUUUACACCAGGGGCAAGAGGGCUGCAGGCCAGAGCCAGCAAAAGAGAAGAAGCAGAGGGAAUGAGAAACCUAGAAGGUGGAACGGGAAGGAGGGAGUGAAAUGGGCAAAGGCCUCCAAAAAAAACAACUUCCGCCUCCUAAGUUUAGUGCAUUUAACUCUAUAAAUAUCUAUUGAACACCUACUGGAUGCCAGGCACUUUUCUAGGCACUGGGCAGCUAGCAUUAAACAGAAGGCAGAAACCCCUGCCUUCAACAAAAUCUAUGCUGUGUUGAAUAAGUGAUACAGGGAAAAGCUAAAGAUGGGGAGAGAGGUGGGAAGGGUAUAGAGGAUGGGAAGAAAUUUACAAAAGAGGCAGGGAGGGCUUUACUGAGAAGGUGACGAUGAAGGAAGUGAAGGAAGGGCAUUGCAGGCCAGGGGCUCAUCGUGUGCAAGGGCCCUGGGGUGGAAGGGAUCAUGCAGUGGCGUGAGUGUGGGUUUGAGCAGCAGGUGAUGGUCAGAGGUAAGGCGUGAGCCACCACGCCCGGCCUAUAGUCAUGAUUUUAUUUAUUUAUUUAUUUUGAGACACAGUCUCCCUCUGUUGCCCAGGCUGGAGUGCAGUGGUGUGACCUCAGCUCAUCGCAGUGCCCCCUGGGUUCAAGCGAUUCUUGUGCCUCAGCCUCCCAAGUAGCUGGGAUUACAGGCAUGCACCACCACACUCAGCUAAUUUUUGUGUUUUUAGUAGAGAUGGGGUUUCGCUAUGUUGGCUAGACUGGUCUUGAACUCCUGUCAUCAAGUGAUCCGCCUGCCUAUAAUUUUUUUUAAGUGAUGGGGUCCUGUUCUCUCACCCAGGCUUGAGUACAGUGGCAUGAAUAUGGCUCACUGCAUCCUUGACCUCCUGGGCUCAAGCGAUCCUCCUGCCUUGGCCCAGGAGUUGCUCGCAUGAGCCACCACGCCCAGUGUAUUCAGAUUUUCUUCGUGUUUCUUUUCUCUUCCGGGAUCCCAUGCAGGACACCACGUCGCAUUUAGUUGUCCACCACGGUUUUUUUGUUUGUUUGUUUUUUUCCGAGACGGAGUCUCGCUCUGUCACCCAGGCUGGAGUGCAGUGGUGUGAUCUCAGCUCACUGCAGCCUCCGCCUACCGGGUUCACGCCAUUCUCCUGCCUCAGCCUCCCGAGUAGCUGGGACUACAGGCGCCUGCCCCCACGCCCGGCUAAUUUUUUGUAUUUUUAGUAGAGACGGGGUUUCACCGCGUUAGCCAGGAUGGUCCCGAUCUCCUGACAUUGUGAUCCACCCGCCUCGGCCUCCCAAAGUGCUGGGAUUACGGGCAUGAGCCACCGCGCCUGGCCCACCACAGUUUUAAUUCUGAAGAUGCAGUAUUAAGAGAGGAGGCUAAAGAAGCACACACUUGCUUAAUUUUUCCUUCGUUAUAUGCUGGGGAUGGCAGCAGCAGCUUGUGGCUGAGUUUCGGUGUUCUGCCUGACGGGUGACAGCUGAGCAGGCACUAGGUCCUUGCAAAACGCAGGAUGCUGGGGAGGGUCUUCACCUUGCAUGGUGUCCUGUCCCACACUGCUCCUCAGGUUGGGAGUGGUGGGGAGUUACUGUUUAAUGUGUACAGAAUUUCUCUUUGGGAUGACAAAAAUGUCUGGAAAUGGAUGGUGGUGAUGGUCGUAGAGCUUUACAGAUUUACUUAAUGCCACUGAAUUAUACACUUCAAAUGAUUAAAAUGGUAAAUUUUAUUUAUCUUUUGCCACAAUUUUUUUUAAAACCUCAGUAAAUAAAAUGCAACUUAAGGCUUCUGCUUUUUGCUUUUCAGUAAAGGAAACUAUUUUUUUUUUUAAGUCUGUCCCUUUUAAGCCUUUUACAUUCCUCAAGUAAGGCUUACCCCCAGAAUGGGGGUCAGGGAUCGGUGCCGAUGGGGCUAGAGCACCACCAUCAUUGCUACUGCUAAUGACAAUGGUGAUAGCAACAACAGCCGUGAUUGACUGCUCACUGUGCUAGCAGCUGUACCACAUGGUCCCAUCUGUUCUUCACACAGCCCCAGGGGCAGGUACGCUCAUGGGAACAUAGCACAGGGUAGUUAACGGACUCAUCCAAGGUCAUGCAGCUGGGAGUGGCAGCACCAGGAUCCCUCCAGAACCAGAGCUCUUUCUCACCACCCACGUCAGUGCCAGCAAAGCCUCCCAAACUCCUCCAAAGCCACCUCGAUAACAGGAGAGAGGUGUCCUUCACCAAGCCCGAGAGGGAGACUGCCAGGUGCCUGUGGAAUAAGCCCUCUGGUCCAGAUGAGGACUAGCAAGAGGAAGGGCUGUUUGCCUUCUUUAAAAAGAUUACAAUAAUG